UAGGGAAUCUUCGGCAAUGGACGAAAGUCUGACCGAGCAACGCCGCGUGAGUGAAGAAGGUUUUCGGAUCGUAAAACUCUGUUGUUAGAGAAGAACAAGGACGUUAGUAACUGAACGUCCCCUGACGGUAUCUAACCAGAAAGCCACGGCUAACUACGUGCCAGCAGCCGCGGUAAUACGUAGGUGGCAAGCGUUGUCCGGAUUUAUUGGGCGUAAAGCGAGCGCAGGCGGUUUCUUAAGUCUGAUGUGAAAGCCCCCGGCUCAACCGGGGAGGGUCAUUGGAAACUGGGAGACUUGAGUGCAGAAGAGGAGAGUGGAAUUCCAUUUGUAGCGGUGAAAUGCGUAGAUAUAUGGAGGAACACCAGUGGCGAAGGCGGCUCUCUGGUCUGUAACUGACGCUUAGGCUCGAAAGCGUGGGUAGCAAACAGG
rnacentral:rRNA from 1 species